GAUGAACGCUAGCUACAGGCUUAACACAUGCAAGUCGAGGGGUAACGAGAGGAAAGCUUGCUUUCCUUGUCGACGACCGGCGCACGGGUGAGUAACGCGUAUCCAACCUGCCCCCAACUAGGGAAUAACCUUGCGAAAGUAGGACUAAUACCCUAUAAUUUCCUCAGAUGUCAUCUGACGAGGAAUAAAGAUUUAUCGGUUGUGGAUGGGGAUGCGUCUGAUUAGCUUGUUGGCGGGGUAACGGCCCACCAAGGCAACGAUCAGUAGGGGUUCUGACAGGAACGUCCCCCACAUUGGAACUGAGACACGGUACAAACUCCUACGGGAGGCAGCAGUGAGGAAUAGUGGUCAAUGGGCUGAAGCCUGAACCAGCCAAGUAGCGUGCAGGAUGACGGCCCUAUGGGUUGUAAACUGCUUUUAUACAGGAAUAAAGUGAGCCACGUGUGGUUAUUUGUAGGUACUGUAUGAAUAAGGACCGGCUAAUUCCGUGCCAGCAGCCGCAGUAA
rnacentral:rRNA from 1 species